ACCAAAAAUCCCUUUCAUGCCCUUAUUGCUUAAAGAUGUAACAUUUAUUCAUGAAGGAAAUAAAACUUUUUUGGAUAAUCUUGUCAAUUUUGAAAAGCUGCAUAUGAUCGCAGACACUGUCCGAACCCUGAGACACUGCAGGACUAACCAGUUUGAGGAAGACAAGAUAUGGCAGAUUAUUAUCCCCUCAUGGCAGCAAGUUUAUGCUGUGAAGAGUGACUUUACACACUCAGAAACCUCCUCCCCGCAACUCCUGCUGACUCCUGUCCCCACAGUGUCUUGCUUUGCUUGCCCAUUGGCUCAAAAUCACUGGUGAGUUUAGCAGGGGUGACCUUGUCCCUAACC
rnacentral:sRNA from 1 species